GGCUCUGUGGUGCAAUGGAUAGCGUAUUGGACUUCUAGGUUGUGAGCUGAGCCAUUCAAAGGUUGUGGGUUCGAGUCCCACCAGAGUCG
rfam:Danio rerio unplaced genomic contig NA997, GRCz11 reference primary assembly.